CUCCACACUGACAGGAGCAAUGUCUGCCAGGCUGGGAGCUGAGCCUCUUGGCCUGAGAACUGUGCCUGGGAGCCAGGGACAUCCUUGACUUGCAGCUGGACACCUGAGCAUGGGAGAUACCCUGAAGAGACCAUUGAGGAGGACACAACAAGAAACUGAGGAACAACUUAUCACCUGGGAAGGUGAAAAAGAGCCUGGGCAUGAGAAAAUUGGCCCAAGGAAGUGGGAACAUGCAUAAGAAAUCAAAAGUUGUUUAAAGAAUAUCAGGAACAUCAUCAGAUAUUG